rnacentral:rRNA from 1 species
GAGUUUGAUCGUGGCUCAGAUUGAACGCUGGCGGCAUGCCUUACACAUGCAAGUCGAACGGUAACAGGUUAAGCUGACGAGUGGCGAACGGGUGAGUAAUGUAUCGGAACGUGCCCAGUCGUGGGGGAUAACUGCUCGAAAGAGCAGCUAAUACCGCAUACGACCUGAGGGUGAAAGCGGGGGAUCGCAAGACCUCGCGCGAUUGGAGCGGCCGAUAUCAGAUUAGGUAGUUGGUGGGUAAAGGCCUACCAAGCCGACGAUCUGUAGCUGGUCUGAGAGGACGACCAGCCACACUGGGACUGAGACACGGCCCAGACUCCUACGGGAGGCAGCAGUGGGGAAUUUUGGACAAUGGACGCAAGUCUGAUCCAGCCAUGCCGCGUGCGGGAAGAAGGCC